CCAAUGAAUUCGUUGGAGAAAAUGUGAAAGGUUCAUGAAGCCUGUACUGCCAACUAUUGUGAAUCCUGGUAUCCUAACUGAAUAUGUCAUCCAAAUGACAGAGUGGCGUGAGGAAUUCAAAUUUAGCUGCUGCUUGCUGUCUGCAAGGAAGCAAUCCAAUUGGCUGUCGCUAGGUGGCUUGAGCGUCUUCGGCCAUUUUGUUCCUUGACGAAUGAGAAGUGGGAUGCUGUCGUGACGUUUCCCAUGAUGAAAAUGUAAAGGUGAUUUAAUACCACUUUGUUAAGCAAUCUAACUCGGAAGCCUGUCCAUUUUGCCGAAAUGUCGUGCCUCGUGCGUCUUGCUGCCUGCACCCAGUCGUAUGUCUCGUGCCAUGCAAAAGCAAAAGUCCGCUGUUGGUUACCUUGUUGCAGCCAGGUGGUGAAAGAUGUGAUGGAGACUAAUUGAACUGUUGUAUGCAGCGUGUGGUUCCAGUGUUAUCCAGAAGUAGCUGUGCUGGCGGUAUCCUGAACUAGCCUGAAGUUGCCAGUGAUAUCUGGGUCGCUGACUUUAAAUAUUUUUUCUGUUUGCAUUUGUGUAUUUCUCUCUGCCAAUGCUAUCCUGUGUUUGAAAUCUUUUCUCAUUCGUGUUUUUUUGCUCUACCAGUGAUUUCCUGUGUUGCAGUCUUGAAAUGGUUCCAUUGUCGUCUUUGGCGUUUUUAUUGUGCAGUAUACGAUUGAGGCAACCUGAUCUAUGUCAGGUUUGA